AGAGCAUGUCCAUCAGUAAGGAGCCCUUAAGGGACCUCAUAGGGGUCCUUAACUUUUUCUCGAGCGGUAGGAGAUUCGCGACGAGGAUGAAGAAGAUACGGCGAAGCUCGAACUCGACGACGAAGGCGAGCUACUGUCGCAGUGUAACGGGGACGGUGGCUUGAAGAGGCGGAAGCUCGUUGAUUCCGACGACAGUGGAGGAUUGACGCCAUGGAGAAAGCUUUGUCACGGUUUAGAGCUGAACCGAGAUUGGGGAAUCGCGGAGAGAUGCGGCAGCUUGGAAUGGUGAACACAGUUACGACCAGAGGGCUUGAUGCUAUCGCCGGAGAAGCUCAGAUUGAUGACGAAGUGCUGUAGCGGCUAUGGAGAAGCUUGAUACGAAGAAGAAGGGGAGUCGGAGCUCGAGCUCCUAAAGUUUCACAGCGGAACAAAGGAGAGAGACACAAUCUCGACAUCCAAUGAAACACUGCCACCUACGGUUCCUUACCAUUUCUUAAAAUCCCAUAAUAAGUAUCGGUCCUGUCCUUUUUCCUCAUUUUUCAUUUAUUUAUUUAUUUUCUUUUUUGGGAACCCUGCGGCAAGGACCGCCGAUGGACAUGGUCUUAACCCAUGCACGGUUUCAUAGCUAGGUUUUUGAUUUUUUUUGUCUGAAAAAAAUAAUAAUUAAAAAAGAAUCAAUCGCGGGUCGCUUUGUGUCGGUA